rnacentral:rRNA from 1 species
AGUGAACGCUGGCGGUAGGCCUAACACAUGCAAGUCGAACGGCAGCACAGUAAGAGCUUGCUCUUACGGGUGGCGAGUGGCGGACGGGUGAGGAAUACAUCGGAAUCUACUUUUUCGUGGGGGAUAACGUAGGGAAACUUACGCUAAUACCGCAUACGACCUACGGGUGAAAGCAGGGGAUCUUCGGACCUUGCGCGAUUGAAUGAGCCGAUGUCGGAUUAGCUAGUUGGCGGGGUAAAGGCCCACCAAGGCGACGAUCCGUAGCUGGUCUGAGAGGAUGAUCGGCCAACUGGAAACGGGAACACGUCCAGACUCCUACGGGAGGCAGCAGUGGGGAAUAUUGGACAAUGGGCGCAAGCCUGAUCCAGCCAUACCGCGUGGGUGAAGAAGGCCUUCGGGUUAUAAAGCCCUUUUGUUGGGAAAGAAAAGCAGCAGGUUAAUACCCCGCUGUUCUGACGGUACCCAAAGAAUAAGCACCGGCUAACUUCGUG